ACUAAAAUUUCAUAACCCAAUUAAACAAAACAAGUCAUCUCCAAUGUUAUACAUAUCAUAUCUAUUUUACAUCCAUAGUUACAAAGCAUGAGAAAAUAUUAUCCCAUUAAGCUAGAAGCAAAAGUAAAUUUAGUUGCUUACAAGGGUGGAUGCAAGUGUGUGCUCUGGUGGGCUUGAACCCAUCCAAAAAAAAAAAAAUUUAUUUUUUUACCAUACUAAUUUUAGUCCAGCCAAAAAAAAUAAUAAUAAUAAAAAAAAUAAAAAUAAUUAAUUAAUUAAUAAUAUUAGCCCACCCCAAAAUUAGUCCACCCCAAUCAAGCCCAAGUCAAUUCAGCCACCAUAUAAUUAAAGGCCCAAGCCAAAUAAGCCCAAGGGCCGGUCCUGACCCAAGACCUCCUGCAAAAUGAAAAUAUAAAAUAAGAUCCAAAUAGUAUAUAAAAAUAUUCACAAGAAAGAAAGAAUUUGAAAUACAUGCAAAGGAGAUAAUAAAUAAAUAAAUAAAGACAAAAAUAAAAAAUAAAAAUAAAAAAUUCUGUAAGAGCAACCCGAAAGUUAAAGAGUAGUUGGGCUUAUUAUUUUCCUUCUAAAUCUCGCCUAGGGCCUCAAAAUUUAUGGGCCUCAAAAUUAAUAGGCCCAUGGAUGAUGGGCCACCAGAAAAAAAAAUAUUUUUAGGGCAAAUCAUUUCAGCCUCCCUAAUCGCCUCCAUCUCUAUUCUCGUUCUCAACUCUGAACUUGCCCCCUCUCUCUCUCUCUCUCUCUCUGCAACUGCAGACUGCAAAAUCUACAAGAAUCAGAAGUUCAAAACCCAUAUAUUUCAGUUUAUCUAUCUGUCUGCACGAAUCAAAAGUUCAAAACCUAAUACCUAUAUCAAAACCCAUAUCGGCAUAUCAUGUAGAUUGUUCACAAAAAUCAAAACUCAUAUCUUUCAGUUUCUAUCGCCCGCUGUUCCAGUUCGGGUGCGCCGUUCGCAAGCUUCAGCCGCUGGCCGGCUGUCUCUCAACUCUCAAGAUUGCCCCCCUCUCUCUCUCUCUGCAACUGCUAACUUGGACCAUCAAAGGUGCACUAGUUCCGGCAGAGUACCACGUGAUCUACUCACCGAUGAAGUGCGAUUCCUUUUUGCGAUCAGCGAACGGGGUAGCCGGGGGUGAAUUCCACGCUGGUCGUUGCCGGGGUUGAAGAGACGGGGCUUGGUGGAUGACGAGAAGGCUAGAUGUGUGUGCCACAGACAAAUUUUUAUUAUUAUUUUUUUUUAUGCAAAAUUUUGUUUUGUGUAGAGCUAAUGAAUCAAGUG